GAUGAACGCUGGCGGCGUGCCUAAUACAUGCAAGUCGAGCGAACAGACGAGGAGCUUGCUCCUCUGACGUUAGCGGCGGACGGGUGAGUAACACGUGGAUAACCUACCUAUAAGACUGGGAUAACUUCGGGAAACCGUAUCUAAUACCGGAUAAUAUCUCCAACCGCAUGGUUCAAUAGUUAAAGACGGUUUUGCUGUGACUUAGAGAUGUAUCCGCGCCGCAUUAGUUAGUUGGUAAGGUAACGGCUUACCAAGGCGACGAUGCGUAGCCGACCUGAGAGGGUGAUCGCCCACAUGGGAACUGAGACGCGGUCCAGACUCCUACGGGAGGCAGCAGAAGGGAAUCGUACGCAGUGGGCGAAAGCAUGACGGAGCAACGCCGCGUGAGUGAUGAAGGUCUUCGGAUCGUAAAACUCUGUUAUUAGGGAAGAACAAAUGUGUAAGUAACUAUGCACGUCUUGACGGUACCUAAUCAGAAAGCCACGGCUAACUACGUG
rnacentral:rRNA from 1 species